CGCUCGAAACCGUCUCUCAACGUCUGUCACGUGACCCGCGAACGCGCACGAACGGAGUCCGAUGCGCGAGCUCUGCACGGCUUUUAGGUUAUGUUGACAGGCUGCGUUACCUCGGCCGUGCGGACGACUUCGAUUGGUCGGGCACGCUCGCAAAAUCGUUCUCCUGUCUGGCGCCGCGUUACAUAAUUGUUUAUCGGCUCGCCAGCGAGCGUCGCGCAACACUUAUGGCACCUCGGUUUCGUGGGCGCAUCUGUCAUAUCGUGCAAUUCCGACCACUCGCCCCGCCACAUUGAUCACAAAGCGUAUUCGGCUCACGCGAGCUUAUCCCCGUCGUGCACGUUGUAAUAUUGCGGACACGAUCGUGAAUUAGGAUAGCGAGAGCGGUACUCGAGACCUGUGAUCUCCCAAAUUGCGAAAUGACAGAAGGCAGUGUAACCAGACUCAAGCGCAAUGGUGCGAGAGUUUUUAAGAACCCACCACAACCACACAUGUGUAUACAGGAUUUUAUACAGGGCAGUACAGCACCAUGUUAUGUAAAUGUACUAUCUUGGGACAAGAUCGCAAUGCCUCGCAGACCUUCACUGCCUGUGCCACUCUAUGGAGGUAUGAGAGUGCCACCCCCACGCACAAAAACAGAAGCAGUUGUUUUUGCUGUGAUGGCCAAUCCAGAGGUUCUACGAAUGAGUGGCAAGAAUGCUCAAGAUCCUAAGAAACGUAGAAGCUUCAUCGAGGUUCUACUGGAUUUCAUAGAAACGAUGAACGCAGGGAUAGUCUUUACUCGCCAUUAUACGAUCUUAAAAGAUCGCGAUAUCACAGGCGAGUUGAAAGAAGUCUGGAACGCCGUGUUAGCUAUACGUGACAGCGAGCAACGACCGCCUCAGCAGGAAACCUGGAUCGACGCUCAACCUUCUGUACCACAGUACCCUCAGUAUCCAGAACAGCAGCAACAGCAAGAGUAUACUCCGCAACCACCGCAGUACCAUUCGAGCAUCGCGUAUAGUAGAGCGAUGAGCGGCGAUGGUAUGCACUUUGAAAGCUAUCACCAACCUCCAAGUCCGGUGAUUCCCCAAAACGAUCAGAUCUACCCUUCCGGGCAGAUGAUGCCGCAGCAAUACCACGGUAAUGAUCCGCGAAUAGCUCUCGAUCGUUAUAACUAUCGCGAGCGCGGCAGAGGUGGUCAAAUUGUGUCGGGUAUCCCGCAACAGAGUUGCCCGGCUUACCCAACGGCGCAGUAUCAGUUUCAGCAGCUGCCCAGGCAAAUGAUGCCGCAAUAUGUAAAUUCCAACGUGCAUCCCAACUCGAAUCUGGCGUAUGGCAAUCCAGCCGCGAAUACCCCACCGGCGAUCAAUCCGCCUUUUCAACAGUACAUUUCGUAUCAACAGCAGCAGCAACCACCGCCGCCGCGUAUGGAUAACGCAAUGCACGUAGAUAUUCGCAGGAUGCAACAGCAGCAACAGCAACAAUCGCCAUCACAGAUGCACUUGGAUCAUGUGCAACUGCCAUGCAAGCAGUCUGUGCCAUUCAAUGAACGCACAGCAGGCAGACCGCACAUGGGAGUGGUUCAGAAGAACAACGCUACUAAGAGGCAGGUGAAUUCACCGACACAUAUUUCCUGCGGGAAUUGCCAAAUAAAGGACGAUCAAAGCGGCGCGAAACCGAAGAGUCCUGUUAAAGUUCUACAGAGGGAAAUGCUGAUGGAGCGGCAGGAUAUGAAUAAUCACGCGGAGAAUAACAAGAUUUCCACAGAGAAAGCGGACGAGCCGAAAACUGGCCCGAUGACAGACUCAAACGAAGAUUUAAAGAAGACCAAUGUGGAUUCUACGGAAACGUUGACGAAGCAGGAAGAUGUUGAUAGUCAAAAAUCCGCACGCACCGUUGAAGAUGCAUCAACGUGCGAGGAGAACUCGGCGAAAGUGGAAAAGCCCGCAGCACCAGAUGCGAAAGAGACGGAAGCCCAGUCUCCGCAGCAGUCGGCUGUUCAGGCGAAACCCAACAAGUUCACCAGGCGCAACGUGCGGACGGGCAGGGCGCUCAUUGCCAAAGGCGACAAGCACAGUCCGUUCACGUUCGCGUCGGAGAGCCCGAAGCGCUCGCAGCCGACGAUGAACAGCAUCAUCAAGAGCGUAUUCAAGAUCAAUCCGGGUGCGUCCGGCGAAGAGACGUCCGGUAAGAAGAAGACGAACGGCCAGGUGAAGGCCAAUGCCAAAGCGACGUGCGAGAACGAAGAAGCUCAGCAGGGAUACACGAUACUGAAAAAGGAGGCACAGGAGGAGAUAGUGAGCGAGCUUGCUCAGAUAUCCAUUCAAGACUGCAAGGACGCGACCGAGGUAGUCGGUUCCGUACUCUCGUGAUAGCCCGGUCAGCUAUAGCUGGUACGCUGUGCCGGCGUGCGACCCCGAGGGUUUCAAUGUAAAUAAAUAGAACAUUAUUCAAUAAGAAGGAAGUCACGAGGAGAUGGAGGACGGACACCGCGCGUGGGAGAAAACACGCAUUUUGACGAUCAAAAUCACUUGGAGUCCAUAGGACGGAACACGCGUCUUCCUCUUGGGGAGCUUCGACGAAUUCAUCAUCGCGUGUACACAUCUCGACGACUUGGAGAUCACGCGCUUGUACGCGCAGUGGACUUUACAGUUGCGGCACGUGGUCGUGCCACGACGUCGUAAUUAUUCGAUAAUCGAUAUCCAGAAGAUGUAUAUUGAUCCUUGACGACCCAACGUCCACGGGCCAAUGUCGCUUUUAAUGCCCUUUGAAAGUUUUUUUAUUUUUUUUAUGUUUUCGUUUAUUGAUUUGUUAUCUGAGGGAUAACGUUUCUCCAGAAACAGGGCCUGAGUCCCGAGCUCUCGUGGUAAACGGAGCUUACUGAAUAGUGGGUCGUUAAGGAUUAACUAGCAGGCUGUGAAGACUGUUGCGAACAUUGCGUAUGUGGUGGUCGUAUUAGAGUAACAGUACUACGAGAUCAACGGAGAUAUUUAUCAGCCGUCAUCGACGAUUGAGAUAUCAGAAGGAACCCAUUCACGAACGGAGCUAGUUGCAAUUUGGAAUUCACUUGUACAGUUCUACUAAUCGAUUCUCAUACAACGGCUAUAUUUAAAAGGUAGAUCUUCUCUUCGACGUUGUUUUCAGUAGUAGUGAUACAGAUAUCGAUUAUUAUUAUUAUUACUAUUAUUAUAAUUAUAGUUCUCAUUAUGGUCGCGAUGAACGCGACGAUAAACAUGUAAACGCGCGUCUAGGUCGCGGUACUUUUUACCACGAAGCUACUUCCGGACGUGACUUUAAAUAUGUUGGACUUUUAUUGCGGUUAAAUUUAUUAGAUUUUCAUUUAGUUGGAUUAACCAUGAAUUGUGACGAAUCCAACAAUUUUCUACGGUAUAUUUUAUAAGUAAAUACGUGUUUUUUUUUUCUUAUAUAUAACGAUAUUAAUUUGUUAAAUAUUCAAAUUUUGAUUUUUUCAAAUAGGUGUAUAUCUAUCGCGAUGGAACACAUGACACGCUGCUCAAAAUGAUUAGAGGAUUACAUUUUUAAAUGCUCGUUUACAUAUAAUAUACAUAUGCAUCUGUUGUACUUGGAAAAUUCUUAAUACUUCCAACUUUGUGCUUUUUGAUAAAUAUGUUGCGCGCAACGCCACAAUUUUAACAUUUUUAAUCGUUAUUACCGUUCGAUCAGUGAGUCCUUCAUCGUUAUGAGCAGCGUAAAUUGUUUAUGAAGCUGAACGAUAUUUUUACUGUGCCCGUUAUGGCAACAAACGCGACUCGUAAAAGAGCGUUCGAGAGCUCAAGCUCACGUUCGGUAUUCGAGAGAGAAAGAGAAAGAUCCGUCUAUAUAAUAAUCAUUUUGCUUCCAAUAUAUCUCGCGGCGAAAAAGGUCGAGUGUGAACGGACAGUGAUAUUAAAUACUUCUAGGUAUAUAUGAGAUUCCGGGACGCCGCCUCGUCGUCCUUAAUGCGCUGAACGCACGAAAACGAAUUAAGAAUUCUCUUUGGAUUUGACUAAACACCGGAGCUGGGCGAAAGCAUAAAUCUCUGCUGCAUCUAUGAUAUAUAAAUAUCAUUUUGUGUAUCAUAUAUAGGAAAAAUAUAGCGAUAUUCGGCGUGUUAGAGAACGUUGCGCCAUGUCCGUCGCGAUAAACCGGACAGACCAUGACAGUGUCAAUAUCGUCGUCGACCAUGCGAUGGUCCGCUGCGUCUGUAAUAACGACUACAAGUUAUUCUUAUAUACCAACUAAAAAUUACAGGCAGAUUAUCCCAUUCUGUGAUCGGAAUGUACGAAUGCCGGUGUUCUCUUUCGCCCAGCUGCGUUAGGUAGCAGCGAUAUUGUCGACGCUCCGCCGUCGAGAGUUAGGUAGACUCAGUUGUACGGAGUAACCGAAUAAUUACCGCGAGUUUUGCCGUAGGUUAGCGAGGAUAAAGACGAAGAAGAAAAAAAAAAAAGCAAAAGACAUUUCACAACGUAGAAUAUGUAACACGCAGUCAGUCGAACAUCUCGUACUUAUCUUCCUAUACAAAGCAAUCGGAGAAGUUCCUCUCGAAACUUGUCGUACGACGCGGUAAAGUUUCUUCCUUCGGUCGCGUACAGCCUCGGCGAGAUCUUCACUCUUUGAACGUGUAUUAUCGUCGCCACGGGACUGCGGCUAACCUUGCGAGGGAGUACGACGACCCAACGGCCGCGUUCGUGCGAAACCGCUUCUGUCUUUCACGGUCGCGUCUCUCAGUUCCUGAUAGGACCUUCAACCGCCGAGUUUCAGUUCGAUCGAACGACCUUCUUCCUCGAACGCAUCGGAUACUCAGAGUGCGGAAUCGCGCGAUUCGUGGGGAACGAAUUCGCCGUGCGACGUUUUAGCCGGGGAUACGUACAGAGCUGCAAACUAUAUGCACAUAGCUAGCGACUGUGAAAAAAUGCGCCCCUUGGUUGAGCAAUCUGCCAGAGUUUUUAUCAGCCUAAGAAGAGAAUCCGCGCAUUACAGCCUGGCCGGGACUAAUCGGUCAAUUAUCGCGCGCGUAAUCGCCCGAUUGGCUCUCGAUCGAUAUUGAGUGACUGAGUCGCGCACAAUUAUUUUCUUAUUUAUACUACAUUAAGCAACGUCCAAACGCACCGCGCAUCGGCGACUUGUCCCUGAGAAAGAGCUGAACAAAAGAAAAAUAUAGAAAAGAAGAGAAGGAGAAACAAACAAACAGAACAGUCUUAGAGAAUCCUAAUGUUUAAACGCGCCAAACAGUCACCGAUACUUCUAAUGCUAGUAAACGGUCUUCUAAACGUGAAAAUAGUAUUUGGCCUCCGAUGUAGACAUGGUCGUUGUACACACGGCGUUUUCUGUAUAUGCCAGAUGUUUCGAUUCGGGCACUUUCGGGUAGAACGGAUCGUGUCUUAAUUAAAAGUAGAAUUGAGAUUAAAGAAGGAACAAUGUUAAAGUUAUUAAAAUAAAUGUUAAAGUAUUCAAUGAAUUAAUAAAAAAAUAAAUUUUGAAAUUUUAGUGCACAGAUAUGUUGCAAUAUUUAUUAGACAUGACACACACGCGAUGCUUAAUCCGAAUAUGCUCGAAUCAACAGGCGAUUCGAAGGACGCCGAGUACACCCCGACAAAUAUCAUAACCGCUGCCACGGUAGAAACGGCGGAUAAAGCUGCCAUUUUUAAAUUGAAACAGUUGGAAAGAACCGGUUUGAAUCGCGCCGAUAGGUCGCUGGAUCGUGAAUGGGUAACGAUUGGCUGUCUUAGAUCCGAUUUCUGAUGAGAAAAAAGUCGGCUUUGUUAAUAAAUAUAUUUUUAUACUUCGCCACACGUGGACCUAUCGGGAGGGACUGUGAGAUUAUCCACGCGGGAGCUGAUAUUAUUUUUUUACGAACGACAAAAAGAGAGUUUUAUAUACUGUAAGUGAUCGCAGGAAGUAUAAUUGUGCGUAUAAUCGAACGCUUCAAUCUUCACAUUUAUUUUUUUCUUUUUCUGAACGAUGAACAUAUUCUGAACAGCCUCCUUUUACUAACACCUUUGAUUUCCGAUAAAAAACAAUUAAAUUGCUGCACAUGCAAUGCAUUCUCUUAAGUCAUUUUUAACAAAUAAUUACUGCUAGUUUUUGCUACAAGAUGUUUGACACUAAGGGGCCUAUUCUAUAACGUUUAAUGAUAUUAUGUAUCGCUGCGCAGUUAUUUCAUAAUACAAAAAAUCUGCGCAAUGAUACAUAACGAUGUCGUUAAAAGUUAUAGAAUAUACCUCUAAGUCUUCCAUACAUAUGUACGUGUGUAUUAGAUCAAACUAAACGCAAAAUUUUUCCUUUAUUUCGCAAACAACCAUGUAAAAAUUUGAGAAUUAUUAAUUAAAGAAGUUUGGCGGAUGAUUUUGCGUACAAUAAUGUUUUUUAAUCAUUAAUUAAAAAUCUAUUUUCGAAAUAAAACUUUCUUGCUCAAUUUGACUUAAUUUACAAGCACACGAUGGCAAGUGUCGCUAUCACAAAUCACCUGCCAUAUCACGCGUGAUAAUUCACUAAUCUUCCUUAACAAAGUUAAGAAAUAUUUGAGUUAUAAGAACUCAAAUUUUUACGUACAUGUUUAUAAAAUGGCAGAGGAAUUUUAUGUUCAGUAUGAUCUAAUCUGUAUAUACACGAGAUUUAGGACACUUGAUGUCAAACAUUCUGUAUAUACAUAUAUUUAUGAAAAAGAAAGAAAAAUCUAAAAUUAGAGGAGCUCUUUGAUUGCCUUCUAUAUUAAUAUACAUGUUAACGUAAGGAUGUAUGUAAAUGUUUGAAAACUGCAUUUUUAUAGAAGAAAUUGUCUUUAGCGAUUUUAUCGGAUAUUCUGCAUAUGUUUUUCGAGCCUAAUAGUUUUAAGAGAUGCGCGCGAUUCGAACGUCACUGCAGACUCUUUCCAACUGUUUAAAUUUUGCGAGCCGCACUUUUAUCAUGAUCCUCGUCGCAUGCUUCGGUAAUUUAAGGUAUACCUGUGAACCUGUGAACCCCGUUUCAAGUCAUAGAGAGAGAGAGAGAGAGAGAGAGAGAGAGAGAGUGUGUGUGUGUGUGUGUGUGUGUGUGUGUGUGUGUGUGCGAGAAAGUAAGAGUGAGAGAGAGAAACCGCCUCUCCUUAAAUUUUAUUUCCGGACCAGCCAUGUUAGUCAUGUUUGUUCAGUGUAUUCGAGGUGCUUCGUUAGUAACGUUAAGAUCUCAGCUCGCGAGUAGUUGUUUAUGUACAAUCGCACGGAGAGGACCAAUCCGCAGAAAGAAAAUGAAAGACAACGCGUGCAAUUGUUGAUAAAUGAUAAAACGUGCCGCGCACUAAAUGGAUGCGAAGAAUUCUCUAUUUUAUUACUUUCGGUAAACGCGACUUUACGACUUUACGACUUGGCCGAGAAUAUUCAUAGAAACGAUGUAGACGUAGGUUUGUUGUAAAUGAUAGUGUUAUUUUCGCAAUAUCGCGGUAAUUUUUAUGAUGUACUUAUUACUUUGGAUUUAAUACACUAAGCGCCGUAAUCGGUAAAUAAUUGGUUAGUAAUUAGUAGUCGCGAUUAAAUCGCAUUACGACAAAUGAUGAUCGAUGUGCUUUACUUGUGCAAUUUUUAUUAUAUUCUAUUACGUGAUCACGAGCGCGCGGACACGACAAAUUGGAUAUUUAUAACAUUCAUGGAUAAGCAAAUAUUCAUGUAUUUAUAAGACAUGAAUUAUUCUUGACUAAAGAAUCAAUUAUUUCGGAAUUGAUUAGUUAAUGCAAGAAAUUCUAUUUUCAACGAUCAAUGAAAAAGAAAGACGUUUUAACUCAGAAUUAAUCCCAGAAUUUUAUCCGUAACAUAACAUCUGAUCACAAUUCUUGACUCUGUUGAUAUAUGCGUCUGUAGUUACGUAAUUUUAUGUUCCUUGAUUUCUUAUUUUUUUAUUUUUUCUUUUUUUUCUUUUUUUUCAUUUUGAUGCACAAAGCGGCGCUUAAUGUGUUGAUCAAUUUAUUCGGGGCGAGAUUUACUAGGAUAAAAUGUAAAUUAGAGUACGUGAAUCUUUUUUCACGCUGCAAUAUCGAAAUUAUGAAUGUUUCGCAUUGGAAGUUUUUGAAAGCGCUACGCAUCCGAAUGCCGACGAGGAUUCCAUCAUUUUUAUAACGUAAUCGUAAUUACGUUAAUUUUCGUUUUAAUCGCAGUUCGAUAGCGGCUUGGCCCCUUCCUCUGCCAAAACUAUCCCGAUGCCGCCCAUCCUCUCAUUAUUGUUAAUAAUAUGUAUUCAGUAUUCGUGUUAUUUUAGGAUCUUAUUAUUAUUGUCAGGUAUAUUAUGGUUUAUAUUAUAUCAUUAUUACCAUGAACAUUGUAAUCUAUUAUUAUUCUAUAAUACAUGGUUUUUCCAAAGUCUGUUCAGUAGCAUCGUCACUGGCCGCGUUUGUUUUCUUGCUAUUUGACACGAGAUAAUUUACACGAUUUUAUGUAUAUCACUGUUGAUCGAACAGUGUUCGAUCAUAGUUUAUCAGACUGCCUACAUUUUUAUAGAAUUCGUCAUACAUACGGCGUAAAAAUAUGUUUUAUGUGAUAUAUAUGUAUGUGUGUGUGAUAAAGAGAGAAAAAUUGAUUGCAAAACGACACGUGUAGAUUAACAUGAUGUACCAAAUGUACAUCACAUUUGAUUUUGCGAUUGAAACUAUUAACAAAUUUUCGGAACGGAUAUGAAUGAUCGAUAAGAUGAAUCAAGACAUGGGGUGAAAUGAAAUUUUAUAUUUCAAAAAAGGCUGGAGUUUCAAGAUUUAUAUAGAUUUCAAUGCUUUUUUUUUUUUAAUAGAAACUAAUUUCAAAAUCUAACUUCUUUAUGUAUUAUUUAGGAGAAAGGAAGCAAAAGAUACAAAAAUCUUACAAAGUUCUAAAUUUCACCAGCUUUUAUUUAAAAGAAAAAGCGAACGAGUUUAGUUCAAAUUUCGAAACUGUAGUCUUUCUUGAAACGUGAAAUUUCAUUUGACCCUACUGUGCGGCGGAACGAUUCGAAACGAGGUAUGCUUUCACCGUUGCGUCCGCAUUAUGACGUACCAUUUCGGCACUUUUUAAUAUCGCACGUAGGAAUACGAAAAGAGCGGAAGGGGGGAACUUUCCUUUUCGGCCAAACGAGCCGCGCGAUAACUCUCACUCGCUGAACGAACGCGCGCCAUCUAUUCUUCCGCACGGUGUAGUUCAAUUUGCAUCCACUUGUCGUCUUAUUCAAUUUGCGACAGUGACGCGUGCAUUUCCUAUGACAAACGAUAAUUUGCGGGCGAAUUAUUGUACGGUGGGUACGGGUGCGGAAAUUCAGCUGAUGAGACUUUCCCUCCCCCGGAAAUGUUGCGGCGAAAUUCGCGAGAAAACGCCGCGCAAAGUCGAUAAUCAUCGUGAGAGUGUCGCGAAUUCGCGCGGUUGCGACGAAUUUUACAACGGCUUCCCUUUUUAUUAAUUUAAUCGUCGUCCUUUCAAUGUGGCGCGUUUUUGUAUGUGAAGAUCGCACGUGCGUCAUCACUUCUGCCUCCUCGUGAUACAUUGAAAGACAGAGUGUUAUGUAACGUGCAAUAACGCUAUAUGUACAUGAGUCACGUUACAGUACGUAUCAACAAUAUUAAUAUAAAUGAUCGGAAAGUG